CUCCACCCCUGCACCUCCCUACCACCUUCUGGGUUUAUUGCAUUCCUGGGUUGGCUCUGAGUUCUGAGAUAGCCUCUUAAGCCACUAACUCAAGAUCACCUUGGUUUUUUUUUCCUGUGAGUAGGAAUUGCAUUUUCCAAACCAAAACUCAUCGAACAGCUGGAGCAAGGCGACGAACCUUGGAGAGAGGAGAACGAACAUCUUCUGGACCUUUGUCCAGCAUUUCGUUAUAUAAAAAUGGGGUGGGCACAGUGGCUCACGCCUGUAAUCCCAGACUUUGAGAGGCUGAGGUGGGUGGAUCACUUGAGGCCAGGAGUUUGAGACCAGCCUGGCCAACAUGGCAAAAUCCCGUCUCUACUAAAAAUACACAAAUUAGCCGAGCCUGGUGGUGCAUGCCUGAAAUACCAGCUACUCGGAUGGCUGAGGAGUGAGAAUCGCUUGAACCUGGGAGGCGAAGGUUGCAAUGAACUGAGAUCACACCACUGUACUCCAGCCUGGGCUACAGAGUGAGACUCUGUCUCAAAAAAAAAUAAAGUAAAAUAAUGAUAAAAAUGUUAUUAAGAUACAGCAAUUAAGGUAUAUUAUAAGAUAUGUUUUUUAAGGUAUAAUAAACUACACUUAUAUAGGUGUGAAAUUUGGUUAGUUUUGGCAUAUGUAUACAUGCAUGAAAGCACUGCCACAGCUAAAGUAACAAGCAUGUCUGUCAUCCUUGAAAAUUUUCUUUCGCCUUACUGUAAUCCUACCUCCCACUCCUUCCUGUCCUCCCCUGUACCUGGGCAACCACUGAUCAGCUUUCUAUAAUUAUAGAUUUGUCUGCAUUUUCUAGAAUUUGUAUAACUGGAUUAUACAGGAUACAACUGGAUUCUUCACUCAGCAUAAGUAUUUUGAAUUUUAUCUAUAAUGUGUGUAUCAAUAGUUUAUUAAUUUUUAUUGCUGAGUAUUCCUUUAUAUGUCUAGGUCACAUUUUAAUACUGACCUAUUAAAAGGUAUUUGGGUUUUCAUUUUUGACAAAUAUAAAUAAAGCUGUUUUAAGCAUGCAAGUUUUUG
rnacentral:lncRNA from 1 species